AUUUGGUCAUGGCGAGUUUAUAGACACAAACAAGACUUGAAAAACAUGUUGAUACCGAUUUUAGCUUGAUGCUAUUUAUAUUAUUUGGAUUUAACUUGUCUGUGCGCAAGCACAAAAUAACAUCAGACAAGCCAGCUGGAAGAUUAAAAGCCAGACUGGGUCUCUCUGCAGACGAUCAUGAUGAUGUCAAGUUAUACAUGACCUUCUUGAGAAGAAGUUUGAUAAGUUAUUAACACCACACCACCAGUAAACAAUAAGCAUCUCUGCUCAAUGCCUGUGAUAUAUUAAGACGAAGAAAUGGAACAGUACUGCGCAAAAGCAACUAUUCCUGUCUAUUCCACUUGCAGAUGUAACAAACCAAAUUGCCAACCAAUACGGGACUACUAAAAGCUCAUUUUACAGCUAGUUUCUGUAACAAAUUAACAAUCACGAGCAGUCUUUGAUAUUGUGCAAUGGCAAUGAUAGAUUUUAGAGUAACUAUAGCACUCAUGUUGAUGUAAUUUUUUUGAAUGUAGAAGACAUUUUACUUAUACUCACUUUAUUAUGCACUUUUAAUAAUUUAUAUUCCAAUCCACAAUAGCGGCUUAAAGUGAUAUUAUGGGCAUCUAACAGUUUAUAGGUGUCUAUCGCAACCGUUGUUUAUUUUUGGUGUUUUCACUUCUGUCAUAUACACUUAUAUUUGUUAAUGCAGCAUCAACAUACUAAAACAAUAUCCCGGAAAGAGAAAAAUAAUGCAUUUGAAUAUCAACCGUACUUUCGUUUGACAACUGAUCAUGUAUGUACGAUGUGAUUCUAAAUUUAGUUUUAGUGCAGAUUCGUUCAUACGACACAAAGACACAAUUUUAUUUUAAGGAUCAUUUCGGCUUACAGGACUGGGUGGGUCACGUAAGAAUAUCGAAUAUAAAAUAUAUUUGUAUAAACAACUGGUAGCAAGAUGAGUUGCAAAUAAUUGGUCAGUAACCACAUUUUAACUAACUCGUUUGACCUGUUAAUUCUUUUCAGCUCAGUUCAACAGUGAAAAAUGCCCAUAAUAUCUCUUUAAAAUAAGUGCAUGCAUUUAUUUAUUUUUAAUUGGUUACCAUGUUAACCACAAAGUUUUCAUCAUUGUCAUGUAACUAACUCUGUAAUAUAUUUAUGAUUCCUGAA